UACGUAGGGUGCGAGCGUUGUCCGGAAUUAUUGGGCGUAAAGAGCUCGUAGGCGGUCUGUCGCGUCUGCUGUGAAAACCCGAGGCUCAACCUCGGGCCUGCAGUGGGUACGGGCAGACUAGAGUGCGGUAGGGGAGAAUGGAACUCCUGGUGUAGCGGUGGAAUGCGCAGAUAUCAGGAAGAACACCCGUGGCGAAGGCGGCUCUCUGGAACGCAACUGACGCUGAGACGCGAAAAGCGUGGGGGAGCAAACAGG
rnacentral:rRNA from 1 species